GUAUUAUCCUAAAGUUUAAAAAAAACGUUGGUUUCUUUGUUUUAGAAAAAAAUUCAGAGCGCUAGAAUGUUCACAGAUAAAAUGAGGUGCCAUGGACGCUGUGUAUAUUUCCAUACUAAAAAUGUUUUGUUUUUUCUUCAAAAAAUUUUUUAGACUCUCAAGACAUGUAUUAAAGCACCAUAUAAAUUACAAAACGUUUGGAGUUAUUUUACCCGAGAAAAAAGAUCCCAAAAAUGAUGCAUUUUUCGAUCGUCUAAAGGAGGUUCCCCCCUUAAUGGUUCUGAUGUCAAAAACAUUGAAUUCAAUUAAACUCAUAACCAUAAUUGGUAAAUAGUAUGCGAGAGGAAAAUCCUCUAAUGUAAAGAUUAUUACUUUUGAUACUAUAUAUGAGAAGAAAAUAUGCAUUCAAUUUUAGAGGAAUCCUCGUCAACUAAAAUUACUUUUUCUAGGAUGCAAGAAUCCAAAUAUUAUGACCGCCCUUAGGAAAAUAUACACAAGUAAAAAAUGUCAUGCGUGCGUGGCGUUAUUUUCGUAACGUUUGUUUGCAAUGUCUGGAAAGUUAUGUCAUAAAAUUUAUGCAAAAACGUAAAAUGCCACUAUGAAAAUGGUAUUGGUAAUAUAUAAAGGUUAUUAUUUGAAGAAAAUAAAAAGCAACACCUUUGAUUGUAGUGGGUAGUAUAGAGUAGAAUGGGGCGAAGCACCCAAUUGCUUCUUAUUUCUGUAUCAUUGUUUCAAAUCGUGCGCUGUUGAUAAUGUAGAGUACGUGCUUGUGGUAGUUUUUUCGAUAAGGGAAAAUCAUGUUCAUAUUAUUCAAUAUCUAGGUUAGCUUUUAAUUUUAGACAUUAUGUACAUUCUUACAACAGAAUACUUAUCAUUGUACUAUUUUAAACAGAAAUAAAAAUACAAACGUUUCUUGGAAGUUUUCCUGAAAAAAUA